UACGUAUGGGGCAAGCGUUAUCCGGAUUUACUGGGUGUAAAGGGAGCGUAGACGGUACGGCAAGCCCGAUGUGAAAACCCGCAGCUCAACUGCGGGAUUGCAUUAGGAACUGUCGAACUAGAGUGUCGGAGAGGUAAGUGGAAUUCCUAGUGUAGCGGUGAAAUGCGUAGAUAUUAGGAGGAACACCAGUGGCGAAGGCGGCUUACUGGACGAUGACUGACGUUGAGGCUCGAAAGCGUGGGGAGCAAACAGG
rnacentral:rRNA from 1 species